GAUGAACGCUGGCGGCGUGCCUGAUACAUGCAAGUCGAACGAAGAAUCGGGCUUGCUCGUUCCUUAGUGGCGGACGGCUGCGUAACACGUACAUGACCUACCCCUAAGUGGGGAAUAACUGCCCCAAAGGGAGGCUAAUACCGCAUGCGGACGCACGUUCAUUCGUGCGGGUUAAGUCGCAAGGGGCGUCGGUGGGGUCCCGUGUCCGUUUAGCCCGUUGGCGGGGGAAUGGUAUACCAAGGCGACGAUAGCUAGGUGGGAUGAGAGGACGAUCACCCAGACUGGGACUGAGACACGGCCGAGACUCCUACGGGAGGGAGCAGUGGGGGAUUUUGCACAAUGGGGGAAGCCCUGAAGGAGCAACGCCGCGUGAGGGAUGAAGGCCUUCGGGUUGUAAACCUCUUGUGUCAGGGACGAUGAUGACGGUACCUGGCGAAUAAGCCACGGCUAACUACGUG
rnacentral:rRNA from 1 species